ACACGACUACAUUAGAUACCCCGGUAGUCCUAGCCGUAAACGAUACUCGCUAGGUGUCGGCCACGGUGCGACCGUUGUCCGUGCCGUAGGGAAGUUGUUAAGCCUGCUGCUUGGGGAGUACGUCCGCAAGGAUGAAACUUAAAGGAAUUGGCGGGGAGCACCGCAACGGGAGGAGCGUGCGGUUCAAUUGGAUUCAACGCCGGGAAGCUCACCGGAUAAGACAGCGGAAUGAUUGCCGGGCUGAAGACCCUGCAUGACCAGCUG
rnacentral:rRNA from 1 species